AGCGAACGUUAGCGGCGCGCCUAACACAUGCAAGUCGCACGAGAAAGGGAGCAAUCCCCGGUACAGUGGCGCACGGGUGAGUAACACGUGGAUUACCUGCCCUGGAGUGGUGGAUAACCUGCCGAAAGGUGGGCUAAUACAGCAUGAGACCACGCGGUUUCGAUCGUGAGGUCAAAGCGGGCUUCUGGUUACAUGCUCGCGCUCUGGGAUGGGUCCGCGGCCCAUCAGCUAGUUGGUAGGGUAAUGGCCUACCAAGGCAACGACGGGUAGCUGGUCUGAGAGGAUGAUCAGCCACACUGGAACUGAGACACGGUCCAGACUCCUACGGGAGGCAGCAGUGGGGAAUCUUGCGCAAUGGGCGAAAGCCUGACGCAGCGACGCCGCGUGGGUGAUGAAGGCCUUCGGGUUGUAAAGCCCUGUGGGGAGAGACGAACCGGCUCGGGGUGAACAUCCUCGGGUCUUGACGGUAUCUUCUUAGCAAGCAUCGGCUAACUCUGUGCCAGCCGC
rnacentral:rRNA from 1 species